rnacentral:rRNA from 1 species
CCCUUAGUUGCCAGCAUUCAGUUGGGCACUCUAGAGGGACUGCCGGUGUCAAACCGGAGGAAGGUGGGGAUGACGUCAAGUCCUCAUGGCCUCUAUGCUUAGGGCUACACACGUGCUACAAUGGAUGGUACAGAGAGCAGCGAGGCAGCGAUGUGGAGCGAAUCUCAAAAAGCCAUUCUCAGUUCGGAUUGGAGUCUGCAACUCGACUCCAUGAAGUCGGAAUCGCUAGUAAUCGCGAAUCAGCAUGUCGCGGUGAAUGCGUUCCCGGGCCUU